AGAUUGAACGCUGGCGGCAGGCCUAACACAUGCAAGUCGAGCGGUAGAGAGGUGCUUGCACCUCUUGAGAGCGGCGGACGGGUGAGUAAUGCCUAGGAAUCUGCCUAGUGGUGGGGGAUAACGUUCGGAAACGGACGCUAAUACCGCAUACGUCCUACGGGAGAAAGCGGGGGACCUUCGGGCCUCGCGCCAUUAGAUGAGCCUAGGUCGGAUUAGGCUAGUUGGUGAGGUAAUGGCUCACCAAGGCGACGAUCCGUAACUGGUCUAGAGAGGAUGAUCAGUCACACUGGAACUGAGACA
rnacentral:rRNA from 1 species